UACGAAGGGGGCUAGCGUUGCUCGGAAUCCCUGGGCGUAAAGCGCACGUAGGCGGAUCUUUAAGUCAGGGGUGAAAUCCUGGAGCUCAACUCCAGAACUGCCCUUGAUACUGGGGAUCUUGAGUCCGGAAGAGGUGAGUGGAACUCCGAGUGUAGAGGUGAAAUUCGUAGAUAUUCGGAAGAACACCAGUGGCGAAGGCGGCUCACUGGUCCGGUACUGACGCUGAGGUGCGAAAGCGUGGGGAGCAAACAGG
rnacentral:rRNA from 1 species